rnacentral:rRNA from 1 species
UCUCCGCCAGAGAACUACAAGUGAAAAACUUGAAACUCAAAGGACUUGACGGUGUCCCAUAUCAACCUAGAGGAGCCUGUCCUAUAAUCGAUACUCCACGUUUAACCCAACCCCAACUAGCACAACAUCAGCCUAUAUACCGCCGUCGACAGCCUACCCUAUGAAGGUCUAAUAGUAGACUCAAUAGCCCUACCGCUAGCACGUCAGGUCAAGGUGUAGCAAAUGUUGAGGAAGAGAUUGGCUACAUUUUUUACAAUAAAAAAUACGAAAUGUAUUAUGAAAUCAUACAUGAAGGUGAAUUUAGCAGUAAACUAGAUAAGAGAGUCUAUUUUAACAACGCUCUGGGACGCGUACACACCGCCC